rnacentral:rRNA from 1 species
UACGGCUCAGUAACACGUCGAUAAUCUGCCUUAUGGUCUGGGAUACCCUUGGGAAACUGAGGUUAAACCCGGAUAAAGGAUUGAUACUGGAACGUACUUUCCUUGAAAAGCAAUGCCAUAAGAUGAGUCGGCGGCUGAUUAGGUUGUUGGUGAGGUAAAGAAGCUUUCUUAGGAAGAAACCUUGGAAAGAAAUUAUAAGCUCACCAAGCCUGUGAUCAGUAAGGGGGAUGAGAGUCCUAGCCCUGAGAAGGACACUGAGAUAAGGGUCCUAGCCCUAAGGGGUGCAGCAGCCGCGAAACCUUUACAAUGCACGAAAGUGUGAUAAGGGAAUCCAAAGUGCUUACCUUCUGGGUAGGCUUUUGUUAAGUAUAAAUAACUUAACGAAUAAGUGGUGGGCAAUACCGGUGCCAGCAGCCGCGGUAACACCGGAGCCACGAGUGGCAAUCAUUUUUAUUGGGCUUAAAGGGUCCGUAGCCGACUUGGUAACUUUCUUGUGAAAUCGCCUGACUUAAUCAAGCGGAGUGCAAGAUAAACUGCCAAGUUAGAGACCGGGAAGAGGUAGAGGUAUUCCUUGGGUAACGGUAAAAUGUUUUAAUCCUUGGAGGACCACCAAUGGCGAAGGCAUCUAUCCAGAACGGGUCUGACGGUGAGGGACGAAAGCUGGGAGAACGAUCGGGAUUAGAUAUGGACUAAAGGAACUUUCCUUUAUCAACUAAAUACCCCAGUAGCCCCAGCUGUAAACUCUGCGAACUAUGUGUUGCAUGUUCUACGGGAACAUGCAGUGCCGUAGCGAAAGUGUUAAGUUCGCCGCCUGGGGAGUACGGCCGCAAGACUGAAUAGGUAAUAGAGCAGUUUUUUGGAGUGAUUUGUUUAAUUUAAACUCCAAACUGAAACUCUAUUACCGCAGUAGACUUAAAGGAAUUGGCGGA